GCAAGUCGAACGGCAGCAGCAGAAAGCUUGCUUUCUGGCUGGCGAGUGGCGGACGGGUGAGUAAUGCAUAGGAAUCUGCCUAGUAGUUGGGGAUAACUUGGGGAAACUCAAGCUAAUACCGAAUGUGCCCUACGGGGUAAAGCGGGGGAUCUUCGGACCUCGUGCUAUUAGAUGAGCCUAUGGCCGAGUAGCGAGUUGGCGGGGUAAUGGAGAACCAAGGCGACGAUCGGUAGCUGGUCUGAGAGGAUGAGC
rnacentral:rRNA from 1 species